UACGUAGGGCGCAAGCGUUGUCCGGAAUUAUUGGGCGUAAAGCGCGCGCAGGCGGCUUUGUAAGUCUGGUGUUUAAACCUAGGGCUCAACCCUGGGUCGCAUUGGAAACUGCAAGGCUUGAGUGCAGAAGAGGAGAGUGGAAUUCCACGUGUAGCGGUGAAAUGCGUAGAGAUGUGGAGGAACACCAGUGGCGAAGGCGACUCUCUGGGCUGUAACUGACGCUGAGGCGCGAAAGCGUGGGGAGCAAACAGG
rnacentral:rRNA from 1 species